rnacentral:rRNA from 1 species
CUAUGCGCCUUGCCAGCCGCUCAGGUGUGCCAGCCGCCGCGGUAAUACGUAGGUGGCAAGCGUUGUCCGGAUUUACUGGGUGUAAAGGGCGUGUAGCCGGGCUGACAAGUCAGAUGUGAAAUCCGGGGGCUCAACCCCCGAACUGCAUUUGAAACUGUUGGUCUUGAGUAUCGGAGAGGCAGGCGGAAUUCCUAGUGUAGCGGUGAAAUGCGUAGAUAUUAGGAGGAACACCAGUGGCGAAGGCGGCCUGCUGGACGACAACUGACGGUGAGGCGCGAAAGCGUGGGGAGCAAACAGG